rnacentral:lncRNA from 14 species
GUGGAUUUGUCUCAGCACUCCAGCACUUGUAUGAGCAGGACCGAGUGGGUGGUGCCAGGCAGGAACAGGAUGCUGGUGGCAGGAGGGAGAAGGUGGCGUGGCUGGGAGCCUCUUCAGCCGUGAGGAGAGGUGCCUCAGUUGAGUUUCAUGAGAGGAUUUGGCUGGCUCUGCCCCAGGGCUGCCCUGUGCUGCCUCCCUGAAAAGCCAUGAGGAGGGGAAGCUUGGACAGCCCCCUGGGGGUACCUGCAGCCGGGGAUGUGAGCGGUGACUCUGCCCUGUGCUGUCUGAGGGUUCUGGUACAUGAAUAAGUUGUCACCGUGGGGCUGUGGAAGGAGGGCUGCGCUAUCCCUGUCUUACAUUGGUUGCAGGUUCAAAGCACAUGGAGAGCUCUUACUGCAAAGCAGAUGUGUGGUAAAGUGCUUGUGGGGCAGGUCUGUAAGGGGAGUUGAGGCUGCAGCCCCUGGAGUGUUGUGAAAAUACAGUGCAAUCCCCAGUAAACACUGUAAUCCAUAGAACAGACCUGGGAUGCGAUUUUACUCCAGUUAGAUCAUAUUCCAUGUGUCCCAGGCAGCAAGCAGGGCAUUUCGUCCUGCAGUGUAUGUAACCACCUGAGAGGCGGAUGUUUUGGAGAAGGGGACGUCAUGAGGCAUUCUGGUGGAGGGCUGUCAGAGAGAGAAGAGCCAGGAUGCUGAACCCAGCACCCCAAACUGCCGCGGCUGCUCAGGACUGGGGACAUCUAGAAUGCAACAUGUGGAGCUGUCAGAAUGGAACGGGAGUGGCACAGAUCAGCUUCGGGAGCCAAAAAUAGCUCUGUGGAUCUGUCAUGCUUUCACCUUUGAGUCUGCUCUCUGGAAUCAGUAUUUGUCUGCUUCUGCCAAACCCCAAAAGCUGCAUUUCAUUAAAAACCCUGAUUAUUCAGGAAGGGUGAAGUUUGAUUCACAAGGAUAACACUCUUUGAAGGCCAAAGGGCUGCGUUUAGGAAGCUGCAGCUCAAACAUCCAGGUUGUCUGUGGGAGCCAGGGGCGCUGUUGGACAGAGCAGAGGAAGCACUCAGACACUCACAGGUACCCUCCAGCUCCGUGUGCAAAGGCUGGAUGUUGCCUUUGUGAACAUUUGGCAAUUAUAACAUAUCAUGUGCAUCAAUAAUGCCUCUAACUUGCCUUAAUACCUUUAUAUGAGAAUAAAAUUUAUUAUUGUAUGGUGCUUUUCA